GAAAGAAAACCCGUGGGGUCGGUCGAAAAUCAACCUGGGUUAAAGGAACAGGCUAAGUGCUGACCCAGAAGAAAGUUUCCUCUGAAGAUGGUCUCACCCAAUACUAGCUCUGCGGGUACCAAGGGAUAUGAGCUCCGUGCAUAUACCAGUUGGAAGUCCCUUUCCCUCCCGAUACCACAGUCAGAAGACUGAUAUGGAACCAAAUAAAUGAUUUUUCUUUUCAUCCUGCCCGAAUUUUGCCUCAACGCCGCUCUCGGAUUCCGGCGGACUCACACUGCCAUCUGCUGCUUCUGGGUAGUCGCCGAGGGAGUCUUUCCUUCUAGACCUUCUCCAUAACUUUUCCUUGGAAUGCCAAGGAAUUCCCUCCGAUGAAAACAUCUCGUAGUAAG